UACGGGAGCGGCAGACGGGAGAGUAACACGUGGGAACGUACCCUUCAGUUCGGAACAACCCAGGGAAACUUGGGCUAAUACCGAAUACGUCCGUAAGGAGAAAGAUUUAUCGCUGAAGGAUCGGCCCGCGUCUGAUUAGCUAGUUGGUGAGGUAAUGGCUCACCAAGGCUACGAUCAGUAGCUGGUCUGAGAGGAUGAUCAGCCUCACUGGGACUGAGACACGGCCCAGACUCCUACGGGAGGCAGCAGUGGGGAAUAUUGGACAAUGGGCGCAAGCCUGAUCCAGCCAUGCCGCGUGGAUGAUGAAGGCCUUAGGGUUGUAAAGUCCUUUUAACGGGGAAGAUAAUGACGGUACCCGUAGAAUAAGCCCCGGCUAACUUCGUG
rnacentral:rRNA from 1 species